rnacentral:rRNA from 1 species
GAGUUUGAUCAUGGCUCAGAUUGAACGCUGGCGGAAUGCUUUACACAUGCAAGUCGAACGGCAGCACGGACUUCGGUCUGGUGGCGAGUGGCGAACGGGUGAGUAACAUAUCGGAACGUAUCCAAUAAUGGGGGAUAACUAAUCGAAAGGUUGGCUAAUACCGCAUACGCCCUACGGGGGAAAGCUAGGGACCUUCGGGCCUGGCGUUAAUGGAGCGGCCGAUAUCUGAUUAGCUAGUUGGUGGGGUAAAGGCCCACCAAGGCGACGAUCAGUAGCUGGUCUGAGAGGACGACCAGCCACACUGGAACU